CAGAACGAACGCUGGCGGCGCGUCUUAAGCAUGCAAGUCGAGCGGUAGUAGUAAUACGAGAGCGGCGGACUGGUGAGUAACGCGUGGGUGACCUACCUUUCAGUUGGGGAUAGCCUUUAGAAAUAGAGAGUAAUACCGAAUACGUUUGCGGAUUUUGUUCCGUAAGGAAAGCAACUAUUGUUGCGCUGAUAGAUGGGCUCGCGUCCAAUUAGCUAGUUGGUGAGGUAAAAGCCCACCAAGGCGAUGAUGGGUAGCCGGCCUGAGAGGGUGAACGGCCACAUUGGGACUGAGAUACGGCCCAAACUCCUACGGGAGGCAGCAGCUAAGAAUAUUCCGCAAUGGACGAAAGUCUGACGGAGCGACGCCGCGUGGAUGACGAAGGCCGAAAGGUUGUAAAAUCCUUUUCUAGUUGAGGAAUAAGUAGGGGAGUGGAAAGCCCUUAUGAUGAC
rnacentral:rRNA from 1 species